rnacentral:tRNA from 1 species
CAAGAAUUAGUUUAUAAAACAUUAAAUUGUCAAUUUAAAGAUAUUCUAUUAAUAAGAAUACUCUUGA